UAGGGAAUUUUGGGCAAUGGGCGAAAGCCUGACCCAGCAACGCCGCGUGUGGGAUGAAGGCCCUCGGGUCGUAAACCACUGUCAGGAGGAAAGAAAAGUCGGCCGGAUAAUACUCGGUCGACCUGACGGUACCUCCAAAGGAAGCACCGGCUAACUCCGUGCCAGCAGCCGCGGUAAUACGUAGGGUGCGAGCGCUAAUCGGAAUUACUGGGCGUAAAGCGUGCGCAGGCGGCCGCGCAAGUCAGGUGUGAAAUCCCCGGGCUUAACCUGGGAAUUGCGCUUGAAACUAUGCGGCUUGAGUGUGGCAGAGGGGGGUGGAAUUCCACGUGUAGCAGUGAAAUGCGUAGAGAUGUGGAGGAACACCGAUGGCGAAGGCAGCCCCCUGGGCCAACACUGACGCUCAGGCACGAAAGCGUGGGGAGCAAACAGGAUUAGAUACCCUUGUAGUCCCUGAGCGGGCUGGCAAGGCGCAU
rnacentral:rRNA from 1 species